rnacentral:rRNA from 1 species
UACGUAGGGUGCGAGCGUUGUCCGGAAUUAUUGGGCGUAAAGAGCUUGUAGGCGGUUUGUCGCGUCUGCUGUGAAAAUCCGGGGCUCAACCCCGGACUUGCAGUGGGUACGGGCAGGCUAGAGUGUGGUAGGGAGACUGGAAUUCCUGGUGUAGCGGUGGAAUGCGCAGAGUAUCGGGAGGAACACCAGUAAGCGAAGGCGGCACUCUGGGCCGGUACUGACGCUGAGGAGCGAAAGGCG